AUGGAUCUUGGGCGUCUCAACUAUGGUAUCGUGACCCUCAUCCCCAAGGUCCCGGGCGCCUCCGACAUCCGCCAGUUCCGUCCUAUCACAGUGAUUAAUGUGAUAUUCCGGAUCCUGGCCAAAGGGUACGCCAAUAGGGUGACCCUGCUCGCUGACGCGAUUACCCAUCCGAACCAAUCCGCCUUCAUACAAGGCCGAUUUAUUCUGGAUGGGGUGCUAGUAUUCCACGAAGUCCUCCACGAGGUCCGGAUGAAACGCCAUCGGGCGGUCUUUCUGAAGCUAGACUUACACAAAGCGUACGACACGGUCCACUGGUCCUUGCGGGAUGUGUUGCUUCGCAAGGGCUUUGACGACCGUUGGGUGACUCGCGUCAUGCAGCUUGUCUCCUGUGGCCGGACCACUGUGAACAUCAACGGUGACAUUGGGCCCUACUUCCCCACCCUCUGUGGGGUCCGUCAGGCUGACCCGUUCUCGCCGUUCCUGUUCAACAUGGUAGUUGAUGCCCUGACAUCCAUCCUUGAUAAGGCCAAGGAUGCUAGCCAUAUCCGCGGCAUCGUCCCCCACCUAGUCGGAGGGGGAGGGGUCUCCCUCCUUCAAUAUGCGGAUGAUACCAUAAUAAUGAUGGAGGGCUCCGUCCAAGACAUUGCUAACCUGAAGUUCCUCCUCCUGUGCUUCCAACAAAUGCCGGGCCUAACCAUCAACUUCGAUAAGAGCGAAGUGAUGGUUCUCGGGUACCCCCCGGAGAAAGCACAUGCUAUUGCGGACCGACUAAAUUGUCGGUUGGGUUUUUUCCCCACGACUUACCUGGGGAUCCCCAUUAGUGAUUCGUGCCUCACCGUGGCGGAUCUUCCCUGA
rnacentral:rRNA from 1 species